GUCCUGUAUAGCUAGCGUCAAAAGAAGGUCCUGAGUGUGCCACCCACCCGAAUGUCAUCGGGGUCAAGACUGUGCUCGCUCCAUGCCGACGUGAUGCUGUUGUUCAGAUGGGGAAACUGAGGCAUGGAGCAAGGCUGCGACUUGCUGAACAUCACCCAACAAACCAGUUGCAGAGCCAGGAAUAGAAGCCAGGUCUCCGGGGCGCUACCCUUUAGGCAAUGCUGCCAGUCUCCUUCGGUACUAACACUCUCAGGAGUGGACCUCUCUAACUUUACCAAGGUGGAUCAAAGGUACCAUGGCACAAGGAGAUCACCAGACAGGAAGGUCUGAGAAGAGGGAAAGCACUGAACCUACUUCUAUCCGGCCCAGCCUCCUUCCGGAGUCAGGGUGCUCUUGGGGCAAAGGACGGAGUGCUGACUUCCCAGUGCAAGCCAGAUACUUACAGGGAAGUAGAGAAGCAGAGAUCCAAAGAGGAUGGUCUCCAGCAGGAUAACUCCUGAUGCCCGGAUCCUCUAGGGAAACAAAGAGAGAGAGAGACACACACAUGUGGUAGAGAAUCCAUGCGGUGGGGGAACAGACCAAGCAAGCAUAUGAUGCCAAUGUGGAGGAUGGAUCCGCAGGGGAGCUCAAUGCGGAGAAGGUAUUCCUGAAUGUGCCCCUACUUGGUGGGGGGAAUGCCCCACAUCCUCACUGCAGCCCCCCAGAAUCAAGCUCCAUGGGCCUGGGCUCCCCUCUCUAAUAAAACUCAUAUAUAUAUUCUGGACCGGGGCUCUUGAAAUAAUCCCAUUGGAAAAGGAGGUGGCUUGAAAGUGGAGUUAAUCUAGUGUGCCAGGUGAGACUGUGCACCAGCAGGAGGCGCCCUUGUCAAUGGAAACGAACAGGAGCAUGUGGAAACGUUGCUCUUUCCAGGUGAAGAUUUUUAUUUUAAAUGAAAAUGGAUGGGGCAGGGGGGAAACCAAGCUGCUAACUAUAAUACUUUGCCACCUCUAGUGCCUUCUGGAUGAGGCCCUUAAAGCACUUCACAAACAUGAAUUAGGAUGCCCCACCCUCCACUUUUCCCCCCAUGACUGAAGCAGUUAAAUAUCACCUCAUUUUCCAUAUGGGGAAACUGAGGCACAGAGCAGGGAAAGCAACCUGUCCAGAUUUUGGGGCAGCACUGGGCAGAGAACUCAGGUCACCUGGUUUUUAGUCCUGUGCUUAGCACUCCUCCGCUCUGGAGAGCUGGGCAGGAAGUCAACCCCCGGGUAGGGCACCUGUGCAAGGCUUAAGCAGGGCUUUCUUGGGACUUAAGGUGUGUAUAGGGGUUGUGCUGGUCCCCAGCCCAUUGCACACAUCCAGCUGACCCUCCCGUGCCGCAC